rnacentral:rRNA from 1 species
AUUGAACGCUGGCGGCAGGCCUAACACAUGCAAGUCGAACGGUAACAGGAAGCAGCUUGCUGCUUCGCUGACGAGUGGCGGACGGGUGAGUAAUGUCUGGGAAGCUGCCUGAUGGAGGGGGAUAACUACUGGAAACGGUAGCUAAUACCGCAUAAUGUCGCAAGACCAAAGAGGGGGACCUUCGGGCCUCUUGCCAUCGGAUGUGCCCAGAUGGGAUUAGCUUGUUGGUGGGGUAACGGCUCACCAAGGCGACGAUCCCUAGCUGGUCUGAGAGGAUGACCAGCCACACUGGAACUGAGACACGGUCCAGACUCCUACGGGAGGCAGCAGUGGGGAAUAUUGCACAAUGGGCGCAAGCCUGAUGCAGCCAUGCCGCGUGUAUGAAGAAGGCCUUCGGGUUGUAAAGUACUUUCAGCGGGGAGGAAGGGAGUAAAGUUAAUACCUUUGCUCAUUGACGUACCCGCA